CUUUGGGAAUGUCAGGCCUCUGAGCCCAAGCCAAGCCAUCGCAUCCCCUAUGACAUGCACGUACACGCCCAGAUGGCCUGAAGUAACUGAAGAAUCACAAAAGAAGUGAAUAUGCCCUGCCCCACCUUAACUGAUGACAUUCCACCACAAAAGAAGUGUAAAUGGCCAGUCCUUGCCUUAACUGAUGACAUUACCUUGUGAAAGUCCUUUUCCUGGCUCAUCCUGGCUCAAAAAGCACCCCCACUGAGCACCUUGCGACCCCCCGCUCCUACCCGCCAGAGAACAAACCCCCUUUGACUGUAAUUUUCCUUUACCUAACCAAAUCCUAUAAAACGGCCCCACCCUUAUCUCCCUUCGCUGACUCUCUUUUCGGACUCAGCCCGCCUGCACCCAGGUGAAAUAAACAGCCUCGUUGCUCACACAAAGCCUGUUUGGUGGUCUCUUCACACGGACGCGCAUGAAAUUUGGUGCCGUGACUCGGAUCGGGGGACCUCCCUUGGGAGAUCAAUCCCCUGUCCUCCUGCUCUUUGCUCCGUGAGAAAGAUCCACCUACGACCUCAGGUCCUCAGACCAACCAGCCCAAGAAACAUCUCACCAAUUUCAAAUCCGGUAAGCGGCCUCUUUUUACUCUGUUCUCCAACCUCCCUCACUAUCCCUCAACCUCUUUCUCCUUUCAAUCUUGGCGCCACACUUCAAUCUCUCCCUUCUCUUAAUUUCAAUUCCUUUCAUUCUCUGGUAGAGACAAAAGAGACAUGUUUUAUCCGUGAACCCAAAACUCCGGCGCCGGUCACGGACUGGGAAGGCAGUCUUCCCUUGGUGUUUAAUCAUUGCAGGGACGCCUCUCUGAUUUCACGUUUCAGACCACGCAGGGAUGCCUGCCUUGGUCCUUCACCCUUAGCGGCAAGUCCCGCUUUCCUGGGGCAGGGGCAAGUACCCCUCAACCCCUUCUCCUUCACCCUUAGCGGCAAGUCCCGCUUUUCUGGGGCAGGGGCAAGUACCCCUCAACCCCUUCUCCUUCACCCUUAGCAGCAAGUCCCGCUUUCCUAGGGGGCAAGAACCCCCCAAUCGCUUAUUUUCACGCCCCAACCUCUUAUCUCUGUGCCCCAAUCCCUUAUUUCCACGCCCCAAUCUCUUAUCUCUGCGCCCCAAUCCCUUAUUUCCGCGCCCCAACCCUUUCUCUGCUUUUCUGGAGGGGAAGAAACCCCCACCCCUUCUCCGUGUCUCUACUCUUUUCUCUGGGCUUGCCUCCUUCACUAUGGGCAAGCUUCCACCUUCCAUUCCUUUCUUCUCCCUUAGCAUGUAUUCUUAAGAACUUAAAAUCUCUUCAAUUCUCACCUGACCUAAAAUCUAAGCGUCUUAUUUUCUUCUGCAAUGCCACUUGACCCCAAUACAAACUCAACAGUAGUUCCAAAUAGCCAGAAAAUGGCACUUUCAAUUUUUCCACCCUACAAGAUCUAAAUAAUUCUUGGCGUAAAAUGGGCAAAUGGUGUGAGGUGCCUGACGUCCAGGCAUUCUUUUACACAUCAGUCCCUUCCUAGUCUCUGUGCCCAGUGCAACUCGUCCCAAAUCUUCCUUCUUUCCCUCCCGCCUGUCCCCUCAGUACCAACCCCAAGCGUCACUGAGUCUUUCUAAUCUUCCUUUUCUACAGACCCAUCUGACCUCUCCCUUCCUCCCCAGGCUGCUCCUUGCCAGGCCGAGCUAGGUCCCAAUUCUUCCUCAGCCUCUGCUCCUCCACCCUAUAAUCUUUUUAUCACCUCCCCUCCUCACACCUGCUCCGGCUUACAGUUUCAUUCCGUGACUAGCCCUCCCCGACCUGCCCAGCAAUUUAUUCUUAAAAAGGUGGCUGGAGCUAAACGCAUAGUCAAGGUUAAUGCUCCUUUUUCUUUAUCCCAAAUCAGAUAGUGUUUAGGCUCUUUUUCAUCAAAUAUAAAAAUCUAGCCCAGUUCAUGGCUCGUUUGGCAGCAACCCUAAGACACUUUACAGCCCUAGCCCCUAAAAGGUCAAAAGGCCAUCUUAUUCUCAAUAUACAUUUUAUUACCCAAUCUGCUCCCGACAUUAAAUAAAACUCCAAAAACUGGAAUCUGGCCCUCAAACCCCACAACAGGACUUAAUUAACCUCACCUUCAAGGUGUGAAAUAACAGAAAAAAGUUGCAAUUCCUUGCCUCCACUGUGAGACAAACCCCAGCCACAUCUCCAGCACACAAGAACUUCCAAACGCCUGAACUGUAGCAGCCAGACGUUUCUCCAGAACCUCCUCCCCCAGGAACUUGCUACACAUGCCGGAAAUCUGGCCACUGGGCCAAGGAACGCCCGCAGCCCGGGAUUCCUCCUAAGCCGCGUCCCAUCUGUGUGGGACCCCACUGAAAAUCGGACUGUUCAACUCACCUGGCAGCCACUCCCAGAGCUCCUGGAACUCUGGCCCAAGGUUCUCUGACUGACUCCUUCUUGGCUUACUGGCUGAAGACUGACGCUGCCUGAUCGCCUCAGAAGCCCCGCAGACCAUCAUGGACGCCGAGCUUUAGCCCGCCUGCACCCAGGUGAAAUAAACAGCCUUGUUGCUCACACAAAGCCUGUUUGGUGGUCUCUUCACACAGACGCGCAUGAAAGGGAAGACAUACAAAAACAAGGCCUCUGAGGUAGGUACUACUGAGACAGCCAGGUGGGAAGGACUCCUUGGCAAAACUCCAACCAGCCUGUACACUGGGAGGAAUGUGCACUGGGAUGGAGCCAUAGAAGUUUGUGUCGUUUGCAGUGGGGAGGAGCCUGGUCCCUCCUCUUCCUGUGAGGAACCUGGAAUUCAAUCUGUGAGGAACUUCUUGAAAGACCCAUCAAUUCUUCAAUAGAAAGCAUCAAAGGACAAUUUACACCCUAAGACUGAACCCCUGACCUCAAAAUCUUUCCCUUGCUAUGUUCACCAACCUCAACAGAAAUAUUAGGAUUCUUACCUGAUCCUAGCCAAGCCCCCUCCCUCAUCUCCCAUUAAAGGGUCCAUCUUCAACCAAACUUAAGUCUCAAUAAAUAUCUGGACAUUGUCCUUCCAACUCUGGGAAGCUGCUAAGACUCUGUCCUUACUGCAGAAGAAAAAACAGCCUUGUACCCUGGUCUUCUCAACAGGUUGUUCUGGAGAUGUUCUGGGGAGACUGCAUUAAACACAGCUUCGCACCAUUGAAUAAACUCAGCAACAAGCCAAUGCAUAAAAGUAAUCUAUGCUUCAGGUCACAGAAGCUUCAAGGGGAAAAAAACAGAAUACUCUAGGGCCAUUGUUCACAAACUCAUCUGAAAACAUCCUGGAAAAAUUUUCCCAAACACAUGGAAAGAAAGAGAGGAAAAAAGAAGAUAUCUGAAUAAUGUGGACUAGAAUAAAGAGCUGCCAGGAGCUGUUUAUUUAAAAACAGUACUUUCUUCUCUGGCUGAGUCCCUGGUAUUCUCUGCUGCAAUCUGUAGCUGUAGAAUUUUGAAGAAUGCAAUUAAAUUCAAAUGGUUUGAUGAGUAAUAUCUUUUCUCUUCAUAUUUGUCUAAAACUUUUCUUUAUUGAAUAGCGAGAGUGAUGAAAGUGUUUUCCAUAAUAAUAACAAUGACAAGGGCCUGAUGAUGAACUACAAUUAGCUCAGUGAUUCAUCAGUUAGCAGUGAAAUUUUCAAUGCAUCCUGACAUUUAGAGCAUUUGGUUGUGAUUAACAGUCUUUGAAAUGUCACCGAAUUUUAUUUAAUUGGCUAAGAAAAAAUUUUAAAAGGUAAUCACUGCAAAGAUCACAUUCAUCGCCAAAAAUGAUAAUUGCAGUUGUCACAUGACAAGGUAGAUGCUAACUACUGUAGCAAACUUGCUCUGUGUUCUUACAGAAUCUAAUGAAUGCAGCAGAGAUCAAGAGCUUGAAGGGGCUUAGAAGUUUAUUUGAAUGCUCCUUUCAAAGCCAUUUGUAUCAAGAACUGCAAGCCUUUAAGUCAUCUGAGCAAAUACCAAAACUGAAAUGCAGCCCAGCACUGCUGAAAGGGAGCCAGGUCCUGCCUCAUCAGGCUGAAUCUCAACCCCACGAGAAAGGGACCACCAGGACCACCUCACGGGUGUGUGACAUGCACAGCUGCACAAGAUUACACUAAGAAAGCUCCGCACUUGGUUCAAGGCUUUGCUACCAUUACCUUAAAAUUCUCAAUAACUGUGAACAAGAAACCCUGUAAACUCUGGCUGAGUCAGGCUUCUCAGCCCCAAUCUGCCUUACUCCAGGGGCCACAGACUUAACCAUACAACAAUCUCCUAACCCUUUCUCCUUCGCCACUUAGGCCAGAGAACAGGGAAAGAGAAAUUCACUGCAGGGAAGACUUCCAAACAAGGGACUCCACAGCUCAGAGAAGUCUCCCCCUGCUCUGGCCACUAGGUUUUUGAGAUAAAACGAGAGGGAAUUUUCAAACUGUAACAGGUCUUUUCAAUAUCACCACCUGGAAAGAGCCUGCUGAGAUGCAGAGACCCAAGCCCUAAGAAGGCACCUGCCCAGCAGCCUAGUCCUCUGUCCUCGCCGGCUGUGUCACUAAAACUAUUACUUUGCUGUCAACAGAGAUGUACUGUCCAAAACACGGACUCUUACAUAAAUGUUUACAUCCUGUAGCCAACAGCCCCUUGGAGCUCAUUAGGUGACCGGGGCUUUGGAUUUGUACUGAGGAAGUUGACUUGGCACCUUCUCUCCUUAUUUUUCUCUUCUCCUCUGCAGUCAUGACACUGGCUCAGGACUGAGAUCUAAACAGUCAUCUUCGUGGCAACAGGUAUUAUUGGUAAAAGAGAGUCUGGAAAUUAGGGCCUAGCCUUUCUUGAGAGGCCAGUAUAGCUGAGUAGUAAAAAGUCAAGUUUUGGAGUCAGGUGUAACUAACCCACAAUCCAAGUUAUGAACUGUGGAGUGAAUGACUCACCUGCCUGGGCUUCUGCUUGCUCACCUGCAAAAUGACAACAGCCUGCCCUACAGAGCUGCCUGCAGACCAACAGCAGCAAGGCCUUGGGAGUCUCUGCUGGUCUCCCAGCUCCUGCUUGACACCUCAAGAUGAUGUUGCUCCAUUUAGUGCCUGUUUGUUCUCAGACUAUCCCAUGCCUUCUUCCUGCAAACCACAGCUCUCAAGCUCCCCAACAGUUUGACAAGGAUCAUACAAAGGGGAAAGGAAGCAAGGAAAGAAUCAAGGUCUUUCUAAGCAAUUUCUCUACGCUCUCAGGGGAUAGGCAUUUUCUGGCCGUGACUGUGUCUCCUCCAUAGUUCCAACUUCCACAGGACAGGUCCUUCCCUCCAUAGUCACAGUUCUUCUUGGGUAGCCUCCUCCACACUUCUGAAUGGCCCAUCUGAAUGGCCACAGUGACUCGGCGCUGAUGUCACCCCUCCUGCCUGUUGUACCCCCUGCCCUAGAGAGGAGAUGCCUCCUGCUGAUGCUAAUCUGUGGAUUGCUUCAUUCUCUGGUUUCUCAGCUUUUCCAUCCCUUAUGCCAUCAAUUGCCCGAAUUAAACUCCUACUAUUUAAAAUACCUAGAGUGGUUUUUAUUUUUCUGCUUCUUAACAUCUUCACUGCUAUCUCCCUAGUCCAAGUCACCAUUAUCUUACCCAGAUAACUUAAUGGCCUCCCUGUUAUUGUCCUUGCCCUCCUAGGGUUGCUUCUAAAUACAGCAGCCAGAAAAAUGCUGUUGAGUUCAAG
rnacentral:lncRNA from 1 species